UUUCAACAAAGCAGCCAAUACGUUUGCUGCUGCAAGUACAACUUUUAUUCAAUAGAAAUCAAAAAUGAUUCCUGACGAGCACGCACAAAGGGAUACUCCCAAUUGCAACUGCAAAUGGCAAUUGUUCUUUGCCAUUAUGGGUGUAUUUUUGCUGACCAAUGGCUGGCAGUGGAUCAAUCAGAUAUUGGCAGCACUGCAACGCACAUUGAAACGCAAAUGGGUAGCACUUUCUUGGCAGCGCAAAGCCGCCUCGUUAUUCACAAUUGUUUUGUCAAUAUACCUAUGUAUAUUUGGCUGGUAAAAAAAAGAUGCAACAAGAAGAAGUAUUCGUAAGUAACAAAACAAAGCUGCAGAAAAUACACAAAGUUCAAGUAGCCUAUACAAACAAGCGACAACAAGUAAUAAAAACACAAACAUGGAAGCUGCUUUUAGAUAUUUAAAGUUGCAGCAAAUAUGGCAAG